UGCGCCUGUGGCGGCUGCAGCAUGAUCGGAUCAAUGGCUUUGCAGGCAGCCUGAUCAUGUACCAGCUGGUAACGUAAGCACAGCUUACUUCAAAGCACUUU
rnacentral:sRNA from 1 species